rnacentral:lncRNA from 1 species
AACCGCUGUAGAUCUAUGCCGUUGUAAAAUGUAUUGUUGUCUUUGUAGAUAUUGCUACAAACUACACUAUUGCAGGGGUGGCAAAAACAUGUAAAUUUUGAUACAUUCGUCAGUGUUAACAAUGCUCUUCAACUUUGUACUUGUUUGGCUUUAUAAAUAUUUUGAUAUGAGCGUCACUGAUGAGUCUUAUGUAGACGAAACGCGC